CAUCAUCGUCUGUCACAAAACAAAUGAAUGACAAAUGAUUAAAAAGAGAUUAGGAAUUAAAGUGACAUUUGUGAAAAGUUAAAUCUCUGAAAUAAUCUUCAUGUGAGGCGAUAAAACGAUAAAAGGAAACUACAUUCCAGAAGAGGAGAUUUUUAUCAAGUUUUUAAAGAAAAUCUUCCUUAAUAAUUUCUGCUAUUUCGCUCUUCGGGAAAUAAGAUGGUCUUCAUACCACUUGCCUGACUACCAUGCAAGGUUGGCCCUCAUAAACUUGCCCUCUUUGGAAGAUCGUAGGACACUCGCUGAAGUAAUGUUCGCUUUUAACUUGCUACGUGAGAACAUUAAGUGUCCUGAGCUCCGAGCCAAAAUGAUACGCCAUCAACCGACAAGAAAUUUGAGACACGAGCGCUUCUUUGAGCUGAGACAUUGUGAUAGUGAGUUUGCUGGAUCAGAGAUUUUUCAUAGAUGUGCUUUGUCCUUUAAUCGUUUUAGUAGCGUGUACUCGAACGAAA